rnacentral:rRNA from 1 species
UGGAGGGUGCGAGCGUUGUCCGGAUUUAUUGGGUUUAAAGGGUGCGUAGGCGGGCAGGUAAGUCAGUGGUGAAAUCUUUGGGCUUAACCCGAAAACUGCCAUUGAUACUAUCUGUCUUGAAUAUUGUGGAGGUUAGCGGAAUAUGUCAUGUAGCGGUGAAAUGCUUAGAUAUGACAUAGAACACCUAUUGCGAAGGCAGCUAACUACGCAUAUAUUGACGCUGAGGCACGAAAGCGUGGGGAUCAAACAGGAUUAGAUACCCUGGUAGUCCACGCCCUAAACGAUGGAUACUCGACAUACGCGAUACACUGUGUGUGUCUGAGCGAAAGCAUUAAGUAUCCCACCUGGGAAGUACGACCGCAAGGUUG